UUUAUGAUUUUUUUUUUUGAAACAAGGUCUCACUUUGUAGCCCAGGCUGGCCUUGUACUCACAGCGAUGCUCCUGCCUCAGCUUCCCAAGUUCUGGGACCACAGGCAUGUGACACCACGCCUGGAUGUGAUUUGUCUCUUCUGUCUGUCCAGUCUGCUGUAAUUUCACCAGUAAAUUUUCACUUGAGGUACUGUGUUUGUCAUAUGUAGGUGUUCAGUUUUCUUUACAUUUUCCAUUUCUCUGUUUCACAUGCUCAGCCCUCCCUUUAGGUUCUAAACAUAUCAGUUAUAGUUAUAAUGACUGUGCUGAUGUCUUUGUCUGCUAGUUCUGUUUUGUCUAAUUCAGGGUGUCCUUUCUGGUUGUUCCUGUUAAUCGCAUUUUCUCGUUCUCGGUUGUAUUUUCCUGCACGCUUACAUGCCUAGCAGCUUUUCUUCUGGAUGCUGGACUCCGUGAGUUUCCCCUUCUUAAGCUGGAUAUUUUUCUGUCCCCACAAAUAUCUCCUUUCGCUUUAUUCUGGGAAGCAGUUACAUUACUUGGAAACACGUGAGUCUUGCAACGCUCUGCCAAAGCCUCGUUAGGCAGGAUGAGUGUGGGCAAAGUCCUUUCGAGAAGUUACCUGUGCCCUGCGAAUGACACCGCUCUUCACUCAAGAAUCCAGCACUGUGGACACUCCAGCCGGCAAGCCACACGCUCUCCUCUGUCUCAGGAACCACUGUGCUCUGAUCUUAGUGUGCAGGGUCCGAAGCCACUGAAGAAGGGAUGGAGAGGUCGAGAAGGAAGAGUGAAUCCAGCCCCUGUUACUCCAUCCUGCCCCGUCCUACCCCAUCUUUUGGAGAUAUUUGCAGUGAUUCAAACCCCGGGGUCUCGAAGGUUUCUAUGCUUUUAUGACAGCUGGAAACGUCCUCCUCCCACCGUGGCUGUUGGCAAGGCUCCUCUCCUCGCAGAGCUUACCAGCCCCGCCCCAGCCAGCGCCUCCCUGUGCUGCUGGGCCCCACACAAGGCAGAACUCCGCUCCCCUCCCUGA
rnacentral:lncRNA from 1 species